AAAUAACCUUGCUAUAAUUAUCCGGGCGUUAAAUAAGUUUUAAUAAAAUUAUUUUUAGUUUUAUUUGUUGAGUAGAUUGAAUCAAAAAAUUAUAAGUUGGCAAUAGAGUAAAGUACUGUAAAGGAAAGGUGAAAUAUGAUGAAAAAUAAAUUAAAAAAAAGUAGUAGUUUAAAUUCGUACCUUGUGUAUCAGGGAAAAUCAAAAUUUGUUUUGAAAAAAAUAAUCCCGAAAGAAAAAGAGUUAAUCCAAAAACAAAGUUCUCGUGUUAAUGAGAUUUAAAAUUUUGUAUUAGUGGUGAAAUGCUAUCCGAUUUUUCAUAUCUGGUUAUUAGCGAAUUAAAUUUAAUUUAUUAGGUUAGUGGUAACUGAAACUAUAAACCGAGAAAGAAAAGGAGGGAAAAGCUUCUUUUUCUAUCAUAAAUAUCUUGCAAUUAAAUGUAAAUAAACCGUUAAACUAGGCUUAAAAGCAGCCAUGUUGUUAAAGCGUUCUAGCUAAUUUAAAAAAAUAUUAAUAUUUAUAUAAAAUUCGGGCAAGUAGUUAAUACUUUUGUAGAAUAUAAAUACAAAAGAUAGACUGAUUUUAUUAGUAGAAGGUUUUAUAAAAUAAAAUAUUAAAAUAUGGAAAAAAUUAUAAAAGAUUAAAAGUGCGGCUAAGGAACUCGGCAAAUACUACUUUUGCCUGUUUAUCAAAAACAUGUCUGUAUGAUUGUUAUAUAGAGUCUAGCCUGCCCACUGAUAAAAAUUGAAGGGCCGCGGUAUCUUGACCGUGCGAAGGUAGCAUAAUCAUUAGUCUUUUAAUUGAAGGCUUGUAUGAAUGGUUGGACAAAAAGUAAGCUGUCUCAGUCGCAGAGUUUGAAUUUAACUUUUAAGUGAAAAGGCUUAAAUAAUCUAGGGGGACGAUAAGACCCUAUAAAGCUUUACAAUAACUUAAAUAUAUUAAAAUUUGUUAGUGUAACUUAAUAUACUUGAGAUUUGUUUCGUUGGGGCGACGAGAAUAUAAAUAAAUAACUGUUCUUUUGCUUAAAUAUACAAUAAUAAUUGGUUAAAUAUUGAUCCUUUAUUAAAGAUUAAAAGAUUAAGUUACUUUAGGGAUAACAGCGUAAUCUUCUUUGAGAGUCCAGAUCGACAAGAAGGGUUGCGACCUCGAUGUUGAAUUAAGGGAUCCUUGUGGUGCAGCAGUUACAAAGGAAGGUCUGUUCGACCUUUAAAUCCUUACAUGAUUUGAGUUCAGACCGGCGUAAGCCAGGUCGGUUUCUAUCUCCUAGUUUGGUUAAAUCAUUUUAGUACGAAAGGAUUGAGUGAUUAGAAUAAUUCUUUUUGAGAGAUUUACAUUAACAA
rnacentral:rRNA from 1 species